GAUGAACGCUGGCGGCGUGCCUAAUACAUGCAAGUCGAGCGAACGGACGAGAAGCUUGCUUCUCUGAUGUUAGCGGCGGACGGGUGAGUAACACGUGGAUAACCUACCUAUAAGACUGGGAUAACUUCGGGAAACCGGAGCUAAUACCGGAUAAUAUUUUGAACCGCAUGGUUCAAAAGUGAAAGACGGCCUUGCUGUCACUAAUAGAUGGUUCCGAGCUGCAUUAGCUAGUUGGUAAGGUAACGGCUUACCAAGGCAACGAUGCAUAGCCGACCGGAGAGGGUGAUCGGCCACACUGGAACUGAGACACGGUCCAGACUCCUACGGGAGGCAGCAGUAGGGAAUCUGCCGCAAAGGGCGAAAGCCUGACGGAGCAACGCCGCGUGAGUGAUGAAGGUCUUCGGAUCGUAAAACUCUGUUAUUAGGGAAGAACAUAUGUGUAAGUAACUGUGCACAUCUUGACGGUACCUAAUCAGAAAGCCACGGCUAACUACGUG
rnacentral:rRNA from 1 species